rnacentral:tRNA from 1 species
GCGGGAGUAGUACAGUGGUAGUACGCUUCCUUGCCAAGGAAGAGGUCGCGGGUUCGAAUCCCGUCUCCCGCUCCA